rnacentral:rRNA from 1 species
UACGGAGGUGGCAAGCGUUACUCGGAUUUAUUGGGUGUAAAGGGCAGGUAGGUGGUUCUGUAAGUUGGGAGUGAAAUCCCCCGGCUCAACCGGGGAACUGCUUCCAAAACUGCGGGACUUGAGACUAGAAGAGGAAAGUGGAAUUCCCGGUGUAAGGGUGAAAUCUGUAGAUAUCGGGAGGAACACCAGUAGCGAAGGCGACUUUCUGGGCUAGUUCUGACACUGAGCUGCGAAAGCUAGGGGAGCAAACAGG